rnacentral:rRNA from 1 species
AUUGAACGCUGGCGGCAUGCCUUACACAUGCAAGUCGAACGGUAACAGGUCUUCGGAUGCUGACGAGUGGCGAACGGGUGAGUAAUACAUCGGAACGUGCCUAGUAGUGGGGGAUAACUACUCGAAAGAGUGGCUAAUACCGCAUGAGAUCUACGGAUGAAAGCAGGGGAUCGCAAGACCUUGUGCUACUAGAGCGGCCGAUGGCAGAUUAGGUAGUUGGUGGGAUAAAAGCUUACCAAGCCGACGAUCUGUAGCUGGUCUGAGAGGACGACCAGCAACACUGGGACUGAGACACGGCCCAGACUCCUACGGGAGGCAGCAGUGGGGAAUUUUGGACAAUGGGCGAAAGCCUGAUCCAGCUAUGCCGCGUGCAGGAUGAAGGCCUUCGGGUUGUAAACUGCUUUUGUACGGAACGAAAAGCCCAGGGUUAAUACCCUGGGGUCAUGACGGUACCGUAAGAAUAAGCACCGGCUAACUACGUGCCAGCCGCCGCGGUAA